CGUGAUGAGAGCUUUCAGCUUGGCCUUGCUAUAGAAAGGCACUCUGGCAAGUGACGGAGAACUAGUGUUUAAGAUCCAAUCGUGUGAAUGUAGCAGUUGACGUCGAGAGCUCAAGGUCUGUGGUUCUUGAAAGAAGUCAAGAGAGAGAUGUACGCACUGUCUGAUGAACUGGAUGGCAUCUUCGUACUUCAUCCCACUUUCAAUCAGCGCCACGGCCACAAGUACUGGAGCUCUGCAGAAGAAAACAACACAUAUACUGAGAGAGAUAUCACUCCUGGCCUUUUUCCUGCUGUAAGGACACGGACUCAUUCAGAUGCAUCUCGUGGUUCUUUUCUCGCUGCUAACAGUCUUUAAAUGCAGCUGAAGAUGUCGGGUGGGCCCACAUACAGAAAAAACAGGAAGAGGCCAACAACCUCCAGGUGCCUUUGAGCAGAACAACACGUGUAUGAGAUAGGCGAGUGGUUUCCUUAUGAAGAGGCACGUUAUUUAAGCAAUCGACAAGUUAAGAACUGCAGGUAACAUCCUGCAAACAUCUGCUGUGAGCAAGCUGGGUCUGCUUUACAAACCACUCAACUUCUUUUUGAAUUGAGAAAUGAGUGCUCAUUUUUAUACCAUUUUCAUGUUUUAGUGAUAGUUUGGAUGAAAUUGUUUUUUUUUAAAUGUACUUAGCAUUUCACCAUGUCAUAUUCAUUUAAGUCUAGUUUGUUUUGACUGAAAUGGCAUUUGUAUUCAAUAAAAACAACAUCAGGAGAUUAAUCUCAUACACGGACUAGAACGUGUUGAAGUGAGACAAUUAAACUGCUAGCAAAGCG